rnacentral:rRNA from 1 species
UACAGAGACUGCAAGCGUUGCUCGGAAUCACUGGGCGUAAAGGGUGCGUAGGCGGGUCUUUAAGUCAGGGGUGAAAUCCUGGAGCUCAACUCCAGAACUGCCUUUGAUACUGAGGAUCUUGAGUUCGGGAGAGGUGAGUGGAACUGCGAGUGUAGAGGUGAAAUUCGUAGAUAUUCGCAAGAACACCAGUGGCGAAGGCGGACUCACUGGCCCGAGUACUGACGCUGAGGCACGAAAGCGUGGGGAGCAAACAGGGAUUAAGAUACCC